UACAUAGGGGGCGAGCGUUGUCCGGAAUGACUGGGCGUAAAGGGUGUGUAGGCGGCUUCGCAAGUUGGAAGUGUAAUACCUAGGGCUUAACUCAGGUGCUGCUUCCAAAACUGCGAGGCUUGAGUGUCGGAGAGGAAGAUGGAAUUCCUAGUGUAGCGGUGGAAUGCGUAGAUAUUAGGAGGAACACCAGAGGCGAAAGCGAUCUUCUGGACGAUAACUGACGCUGAGGCACGAAAGCGUGGGGAGCAAACAGG
rnacentral:rRNA from 1 species